GACGAACGCUGGCGGCGUGCCUAAUACAUGCAAGUUGAGCGCUGAAGGUUGGUACUUGUACCAACUGGAUGAGCAGCGAACGGGUGAGUAACGCGUGGGGAAUCUGCCUUUGAGCGGGGGACAACAUUUGGAAACGAAUGCUAAUACCGCAUAAAAACUUUAAACACAAGUUUUAAGUUUGAAAGAUGCAAUUGCAUCACUCAAAGAUGAUCCCGCGUUGUAUUAGCUAGUUGGUGAGGUAAAGGCUCACCAAGGCGAUGAUACAUAGCCGACCUGAGAGGGGGAUCGGCCACAUUGGGACUGAGACACGGCCCAAACUCCUACGGGAGGCAGCAGUAGGGAAUCUUCGGCAAUGGACGAAAGUCUGACCGAGCAACGCCGCGGGAGUGAAGAAGGGUUUCGGAUCGUAAAACUCUGUUGGUAGAGAAGAACGUUGGUGAGAGUGGAAAGCUCAUCAAGUGACGGUAACUACACAGAAAGGGACGGCUAACUACGUG
rnacentral:rRNA from 1 species